GGUUUCGUGGCCCAAUGGCAAGGCGUCUGACUACGAGGAAAACCCAUCGCGACAACGACGAGUUGGAGAAUGGAUGGCUUCACGAUAAUCAGGAGAUUCUGGGUUCGACCCCCAGCGAGAUCA
rnacentral:tRNA from 1 species